rnacentral:rRNA from 1 species
GAGUUUGAUCCUGGCUCAGGAUGAACGCUGGCGGCGUGCCUAAUACAUGCAAGUCGAGCGAACGGACGAGAAGCUUGCUUCUCUGAUGUUAGCGGCGGACGGGUGAGUAACACGUGGAUAACCUACCCAUAAGACUGGGAUAACUUCGGGAAACCGGAGCUAAUACCGGAUAAUAUUUUGAACCGCAUGGUUCAAAAGUGAAAGACGGUCUUGCUGUCACUUAUGGAUGGAUCCGCGCUGCAUUAGCUAGUUGGUAAGGUAACGGCUUACCAAGGCAACGAUGCAUAGCCGACCUGAGAGGGUGAUCGGCCACACUGGAACUGAGACACGGUCCAGACUCCUACGGGAGGCA